rnacentral:tRNA from 1 species
GGGCCGUUAGCUCAGUUGGUAGAGCAGCGGACUUUUAAUCCGUUGGUCGAUGGUUCAAAUCCAUCACGGCCCACCA